AGCAGCCGCGGUAAUUCCAGCUCCAAUAGCGUAUAUUAAAGUUGUUGCAGUUAAAAAGUUCGUAGUUGAAUUUCGGGGUCAGUAGGUCGGUCGUGCCACUGGUAUGAGCUGGUUUUACUGAUUCCUCCCUCUUGAAGAACUGUAAUGCCAUUAAUUUGGUGUUGCAGGGAAUCAGGACUGUUACUUUGAAAAAAUUGAGUGUUUAAAGCAGGCUUUAGCUUGAAUACAUUAGCAUGGAAUAAUGAAAUAGGACGUUUGAUCCUAUUUUGUUGGUUUCUAGGAUUGACGUAAUGAUUAAUAGGGAUAGUUGGGGGCAUUAGUAUUCAAUUGUCAGAGGUGAAAUUCUUGGAUUUAUUGAAGACUAACUACUGCGAAAGCAUUUGCCAAGGAUGUUUUCAUUAAUCAAGAACGAAAGUUGGGAUCGAAGACGAUCAGAUACCGUCGUAGUCUUAACCAUAAACUAUGCCGGCUAGGGAUCGGGUGAUGUUAAUUUUUAANGUACUUCAUUCGGCGCCUUACG
rnacentral:rRNA from 1 species